ACGGAGGGAGCAAGCGUUGUCCGGAAUAACUGGGCGUAAAGGGCUCGUAGGCGGGGACUUAAGUCUGAGAGUAAAUUCACCGGCUUAACUGGUGAUUCAUCUUGGAUACUGGGUCUCUUGAGGACGGAAGAGGAAAGGGGAAUUCCUGGUGUAGCGGUGAAAUGCGUAGAUAUCAGGAGGAACACCUGUGGUGAAGGCGCCUUUCUGGUCCGGUCCUGACGCUGAGGAGCGAAAGCCAGGGGAGCGAACGG
rnacentral:rRNA from 1 species